rnacentral:rRNA from 1 species
GACGAACGCUGGCGGCGUGCUUAACACAUGCAAGUCGAACGGAAAGGCCCUGCUUUGUGGGGUGCUCGAGUGGCGAACGGGUGAGUAACACGUGAGUAACCUGCCCUUGACUUUGGGAUAACUUCAGGAAACUGGGGCUAAUACCGGAUAGGAGCUCCUGCUGCAUGGUGGGGGUUGGAAAGUUUCGGCGGUUGGGGAUGGACUCGCGGCUUAUCAGCUUGUUGGUGGGGUAGUGGCUUACCAAGGCUUUGACGGGUAGCCGGCCUGAGAGGGUGACCGGCCACAUUGGGACUGAGAUACGGCCCAGACUCCUACGGGAGGCAGCAGUGGGGAAUAUUGCACAAUGGGCGGAAGCCUGAUGCAGCAACGCCGCGUGCGGGAUGACGGCCUUCGGGUUGUAAACCGCUUUCGCCUGUGACGAAGCGUGAGUGACGGUAAUGGGUAAAGAAGCACCGGCUAACUACGUG